rnacentral:rRNA from 1 species
UACGUAGGGUGCAAGCGUUAAUCGGAAUUACUGGGCGUAAAGCGCACGUAGGCGGCUUGGUAUGUCGGGUGUGAAAUCCCCGGGCUCAACCUGGGAACUGCAUCCGAAACUGCCUUGCUAGAGUAUGGGAGAGGGAAGUGGAAUUUCCGGUGUAGCGGUGAAAUGCGUAGAUAUCGGAAGGAACAUCAGUGGCGAAGGCGACUUCCUGGACCAAUACUGACGCUCAGGUGCGAAAGCGUGGGGAGCGAACAGG